CAGCAUUAUUUAAAUGUUCCCAGCAUUAUUAAUGUCAAAAUACCUUGGAGUGAAAGAGCAGCAGUUUUUCUGGUAUCGAGAGGGGUUGUUUUCCUUUGCUUGCCUCCCUUCACAGUGGAUUGAACAGAGGAAUGGGGAAUCAUCAAGAACAGGUCCUGCUACAUGGGAAUUGCUUGGAGUCCAGAGGAAGAAGCAGCUCAGAGCGAGGACAGGGCUCGGAGAGAGGCUCUGCAAGGAUCCAAACUGGAAGUACUCUGAGCUCGUGCAAAGGAUGUCUCUGAAAAUUGAAAAUAUCUCUGCUCAAUACAAGUAAAAUACAAAUCAGAGACUGCUUGAAGGUGAGAAC
rnacentral:lncRNA from 1 species